rnacentral:misc_RNA from 1 species
AACCUUAUGGACCUGCGGGCGUAUACCUGCGGAGGGAUCAUUAACCUUUCAAAUCAGGGUGCGGCGCGGCCCCCGAGGAGCGGAGACAAUCCUUGGGAGGUAUGCGGGGGCUUCGAGCCCCCCAUUUACGCACGCACGACUGCCAUCCUUACUUUACGAGCACCUUCUGUUCUCCCUCGGCGGGGCAACCUGCCGUUGGAACCGAAUAAACUCUUUUUGCAUCUAGCAUUACCUGUUCCG